UACGGGGGGGGCAAGCGUUGUUCGGAAUUACUGGGCGUAAAGGGCUCGUAGGCGGCCAACUAAGUCAGACGUGAAAUCCCUCGGCUUAACCGGGGAACUGCGUCUGAUACUGGAUGGCUUGAAUCCGGGAGAGGGAUGCGGAAUUCCAGGUGUAGCGGUGAAAUGCGUAGAUAUCUGGAGGAAUACCGGUGGCGAAGGCGGCAUCCUGGACCGACAUUGACGCUGAUGAGCGAAAGCUAGGGGAGCAAACGGG
rnacentral:rRNA from 1 species